GGGAUAGCUUCUGUAGCC
rnacentral:siRNA from 1 species